UGCAGAAUCCCGUGAACCAUCGAGUCUUUGAACGCAAGUUGCGCCCAAAGUUUCGGCUAAGGGCACGUCUGCCUGGGUGUCACGCAUCAUGUCGCCCCCAAUACUCUCGCCUCCCUCCCGUCUCGGGAGUUUGGCAAGUGGUAGGGCGCGGAAGAUGGCCUCCCGUUGCAUCCCGCUGCGGUUGGCCUAAAUGUGAGCAUGGGAGCGACGUACUCCGCGGCGCGCGGUGGUGGUAAUAUCGCCCCUCGGGCUAGUGUCCGGACUGUCCUUCCCUUGUUGCUCGGUGGCCUCACAACCAACACAUGCGACCCCAGGUCAGGCGGGACUACCCGCUGAGUUUAA
rnacentral:rRNA from 2 species